rnacentral:lncRNA from 1 species
ACAAAGUUGACAAGAUUCAAAAGUGGUUUGGGUAAAAGAGACUCAAUCCUAGAGGGGCAUUUGAUUCCAAAAGGGAAGAAGACGUACUUCAUCUGGAACAUCAUGAAGUCACAGAAGAACUUCACAAGUGUUCCGAUCAGAAGGGAGCCCUUUGAGUAAGUGAAAUGAAGCAUGAAUAACUGCCUAAUUAGUGGACAUGAAAACUGGACAGUCUCCAAAGUCAUCAGAGAUGACCACGCUUGCCAGGCAACUUACUAGACUAAGGGUGACGUGCCCAUCAUGCAGGAAGCUUCUCCGAGGCUGGCGAGAGCAACUUGUCUGCUUUGAGAAAUGCAGAUCUAUCAGGAUCCAGAAUCGGACUCUGAAAAAGCUGUCAUUUCAUGUCUCUAAAACAGCCUUUGAUUUAAUGUACAAGAUGUCAAGAAGUAAAGGACAAUAAAAUAAAAACCAAAAAAGGAGAACUAUUUCAAUUAAGAAGCAUUUCUAUAUCAAUUCUUGGAAAUCACAUAAAAUAAAAGCUGUCAGAAUCAAUCUCUGUUUAAAAGGUUGAUUUUUUUGUGGUGCUU